UUUUACUAAUCUACAUAAUCAGUACAUGUGUUAUAUCAUGCUAUCAAGUAUACUAAAAUGUAAAAUAAAUGACAAAAAUUUUUAUCACAUUACCCUACAAGGACCUCUGCAUAAAUAAUAUGUUUUACAGGGACUAAAUUAACAUAUGUUGAGGACCUCUAAAUAAGUAAUAUGCUUUACAGGGACUAAAUCAAAAUAUUUUGUUUCUUAUAGCCCUAGAAGGAUGUCAGCAUAAAUAAAAUGUUUCACAGGGGCUUAACAGAAAUAAUUUCAUCUUUUAACUGCCCUCUAAGGACUUCACUAUAAAUAAAAUAUUUCACAGGGAUUUAACAGAAACAUUUUCUUUCUUUAACAGCCCUGGAAGGACUGUAUGCAUAAGUUUAACAUUUAACAGGGACUGAAAUGAAAAUAAUUCGUCCUUCUAACAGCCCUGGAAGGACUGUUAGCACAAAUAAACUA
rnacentral:lncRNA from 1 species